GGGGGUAUAGCUCAGUUGGUAGAGCGUCUCGUUCGCAAUGAGAAGGUCCGGGGUUCGAAUCCCCGUACCUCCACCA
rnacentral:tRNA from 1 species